rnacentral:misc_RNA from 1 species
AAUCUUACCUUGGUACAAUCUUUGUUUCUGUCGUAGGUGUAAGUAGUAAUUUUAUAUACAAAGUGUGCGGGUUAAAGUAUUUCCGAAGGAAGAGGUAUUUUUACGGCGUCAAAAUUUGUCGAAAAAAAGGAGAGAAGGCAAUGCCUGUGAACCACACCAGUACCACUCCGUUGGAGGAUAUGUCCACGACGAGAGCUGUUAAUGCAAAUAAUCAGUGUUUGAAGGUGUUUAUACAGCGGGAUUAUAACGAAGGAACACUUGUAAAGUUCCAGACACGCUUUCCACAAGAACUUGAAGAUCGGAUUGAUCGGCAGGCAUUUGAAUACACAGUUAAUCAGUUGAAUGCCAUAUAUGCUGAAGCUGAGAAAGCUGGAUGCAGUACAUAUUGUAAAGGGUGCAUGGCUUGUCUUACAGCGUACCUUAUUUACAUUUGCACAGAAACACAUUAUGAAAAGUGUCUCCGGAAAGUAGCAAAGUUUAUUGCAGAACAAAAUGAACGUGUUUAUGCUCCACGUGGGCUUCUUAUAACUGAUCCUUCUGAAAGAGGAUUGCGAGUUAUAGAGAUUUCCAUACUGAAUGAGCCAGCAGCGACCAGAACGUGACUUUCCCUUUCGGAGUCAACAGAAGAAUUUUUUAUGUGACUGUUCAUUCUCUUUAAUUGGUGAGCGCAUUGGAAGCUAGUGCAGUGUUUGACUCCGAGGUGUGAUAUUCUGGCACUGGAUAGCAUGCCACAACAUUGUUCCGUUGUGGGUGGUGGUUUUGUUCCUUGAAAGCUUGCUUUAGCUUGGUGCAGAAAGUGAAGCUCAGAUGUGCAUACUUUGCUAAGAAGCUGGUUAUGAGAUUUAAAUUUGCAUCACUGGCAAUUACUCCUAAGUAUAUGCAAAACAUUAUUCUUAUUUGUUAAACUAUGUGCGACAAUUUUCCUGUUAAAUCAUAUGACCACAGUUUAUGUGCUGCAAAAUAUUAUAUUAUUAUGACUGAUCAUGACAAGAAUGUUGCUUAUUUAUAUAUAAUAAUUAUUUGAAGACAGCCGUAUGUUACACAGUGAAAAUAGAAUUUUAUGCUGUCAUUUUUUUUUCUAUACUUAAAAAAAACUAUAAAGGAUUUAAUGUUUCUUUAUUCACAGUUAGUAUGUCCUCAUAUUAAAUAGCCAGUUACUCAUAUAAGUUAAUGAUAGGAGAGAAAAGCCAUGAAGAAUAAAAUGUGAGUAAAUGACAGACAACUCGGUUAGUUUUUAAGGUUGAUAAUAGGAAUCAACAGGCCAGGCCAUAAACACUCUUGGUGUCACAAACUGUAUGUUCAGGGAAAACACAAAAAAAGUAGAGUGAGAUUUGUGUUGUUGAGUUAAUGAGAUGGCAAUAUUUUGCUGCUUUAUAUAGUUUGGACCUUUCUAUAGCCUUAUUCUUAAUGUAGAAGAGCUAGUUACAGAUUAUUUUAAGUCAUGAAGUUCAUCUAAUAAUUCACAAUUGGACUGGCGCCUGGGAAUAAAGUUAAUAUUUGCUUCAAAGGAUAAUUAUAUGUCUUCCUGUUUAGAAGCCAUUGUAUGUUCAGUUUAUUUGUGGGAAUGAGAACAUAAUUUAUUCAUAUAUUGAGUGAGUGGGUGACCAUGUCUGAGGCAGAGAAUUAUGUGAAACGAUAUUUGGGAGGUACUGAGGGAGGCAAACAGAUAAACCUUGGAGAUUUACUUGUUAGUGGUUGGUGUCAGAUGAAAUAAUAGUUUGUUUCAUCAUUUUUUUUUAUGUGGCUGCCAGACAAGUUGCCACAUUACGAGAAGGUUUACAUGAUGUUGUAUAACAUUUUGAAUGUUUGAGGCUGUCGUUUUUAUGUUUGGGUACUAGUGGUCAGUCAAGCUCCAUUCUUUAUGUGUGCGACUAAGCAAGGUGGUGUAUUAGUUGGUGCAAUUAGGAGUAGUGUGGUUCAAACUCCUAUCCUGCCAUCCUGAUUUAGGUUUUCCGUGGUUUUAUCAAAGCAUUUAAGGUGGAUGCUGACAGGAGCCUUUGAAAUAGGCCAUUUACUUUCCACAUCCUAGCCCUACUCUAUCAUGAGCCAUUUAUCUAAUGACUUUGUUGUUGAUUGGGGUGAGCCCUAAUUUUAUUUCCUUUUUAUUUCUGUGUAUUUAAUUAAAAUAGUUUUUAUAAAAAGCAUUUCUUGUAUGUCAUGGGAACUGUACUAUGACACUUUAUUCAAGAAUGAAAAUGUAGAAACUCUCAAAUUGUAAUAUUGAGCAAAAUGAAUAUGUUCUGAAAAGAAGUAGCAGUUGGUUUGUAUUUGUGAAAAGCCAAGCAUUUAUAUUUCAGGUGACAACGUUCCCAUGUGUAUUUGUGUAGAUAGUGGAUUUAGUCAAUUUCCGUGUGUACUUAAAUUUUCACAUUUUGGUUGCAUCCUUUCACGUUCUUGUGUAUUUCAUUAGUUGUGCUAAUGUGCAGAAAGAUGAGUAAAAAGUUAAAAUUAUUAUACUGCAUUUAAUGUUAAGUGUUUGAGGUACUUCAGAUGACUAAACGAGGAAAGGUGUGUGUUCAUUGAUGUCCUGCUUUGUGUCACUUGUAAGCAGAUCAUCUACUUUUCUAACUUGUCUUUGUUUAAAUAUAUGUAAAACUACUAAAAAAAUAAAGUGAAAACUACUGCUUAUAAA